UCGCUACCUACCGUCCUCUCAGCCUUAUGGCCCCCUUCGUGGUCUUCCACUUCGUUGUCUAUGGCCAAAAGACGAGAAUUCAUUGAGCCACAGCUCAAUGAUAUGCUCAAUGAUCCAACAGUUCUGUAACUGGAUUUUCGAAGCAUUUUAAGCUACUUAAAUGUUUACGAAUUCGUAGGUUACAUUUGGAAAAGAGAUAAGUAAAUGAAAAAAAAAAAACUUUUUCAAAACACUGCGCCUACCAUAUUUGAAGUUGCUAAAAAUAAAACUGUGUUAGAUAAUCAGUCAAACAACACAUUGUUCUUUUAUUUGAAUGGACAAUCAAGAUCUCAACAACUAGAGCCUGUCAACUCUAAUCGUACUCAUACUCCAACUACAUACACUGCAAGUAACUUGAGUACAUAGUCAUCCAACUCACCUUUCUCUGAUGUCAAUGGAAAAUCAAGAUCUCAACAUCCACUGACUUUCACCAUUGCUAAUUGUACUGAUACUCCAACAUCCACUGCAAGAAACUUGAGUACACAGUCCACCAAACCACCAUUCUCAAAUGGGACUGGACAAUCAAGAUGUCAACAACUAGAGCUUAUCACCAUCUCUCAUUGUACUUAUCCUCCAACAUCCACUGUAAGCACAAUAAUGUUAAGUUGUUAAGUAAAAUGCAUGUUCAUUAGUUUGUGCUUCUGUUUUAAUUGGGUUAUUGACAAUACAGUGGGCUUUUACUAUAAA